UCAAGUAGGUUGUGAAAAAAAAAAACAGUUUUACGGCUUCUCAAGCAGAUUGGUUGUUUUAUGCCAGUGAAAUCAAUAAUGAUGUGUGAUUGUGCUUUAGAUGCGCUGCAGGAUAGAUACAAAGGCGAAGCUGAUUUAAAUUGGGUAUUUAAAAAAUACAAAAUUGCGAGAAAAAAGAAUAAGCCCGAAAAAUAAGAUCUGGCCGAUUGACGUAACGUAAGCUCAAGCUUUUCUAGUAUGCAGUGGACGGACCAGGAUCAAAUCAUUUCGAUUUUUGAGUACCUAACCAGACUGUUAAUUAGCGUCAAAGGUUAUGACAACAGUGCAGUAACAGUCGAGGAUAAUUUCUAAAUUUUUGGAAUUGCCAUAAUGAAAAGUAUUUUCGUCGAUUUUCAACUUCUGUAGGUAGGACGAUGAAGGAUUGCUAUUUCAAAAAGGGAACGAAACCGUUUACAAUAACAGAGAAACUUACCCUGUCAAUCAGACACAAGAUUACCUAUGUACAUUUCGGAUCGAGGAAAAAGUACGAAGAUGGGCUUAAAGAUUUCUGUUUUUAUUAUUAUUGCUAUGUUAUUUCUUGCUGCUGCUGAUAUGAUUUGCAAUCAAUUCUGAAGUAUGUACUGGGUUACACGGAAAAUUCGCUUUUGUCGAAAGAACCUUUCAACGAGUAUUAUAUGGAAUGAUGUUUUGUCAAUAGAUCAUCUCCAACGACUUUGGAGUCAGAUGUGUCUAUUCGAUGUGUGUAAGUUAGCUAUCUUUCUAGGUUACAAUCUCUAGCAGUGUUAAGGAUCACUGGUCUGUUUAAUUGUGAGGGAACUUCUGAAGUUUGAAAUGGUACACCUGCUGCAGGAUGACAAUUUUAUCUCUUAUUGCAUUAAACGUCAAGCUCGGAGAGUCUGGAUUUGCAGUUAUUUUUAAAUUUAUUAGAUCUAUUGCAUGCUUCUGAUGCACUUACGGGCUAGUGCUAGUGCUUUUUUUUACUGGCGGAAAGUGUUUUAUAUGAAUAUGUGUCGUCUGUAAAUUCUGACUCACUUUGAAUAUCGUUUGGUUUCUCAAGAGCAACCGUCUCAGUUGAGUUACUGUCUUUUGGCUCGUUUUAUCGUAUCUAUUUUUAUACAUGUAUCCUUUUCCAUGUAGUUUGGACCCGGAAAUAAAUAGUCGUGUAAAUGUCGUACGGUAUCUUGAUGGCCUCUAUUUGGGAAAAGACCGCAGUCUUUUUUAUCUUUAGAUGUGUUUGUGUGUGUU